rnacentral:rRNA from 1 species
GACGAACGCUGGCGGCGUGCUUAACACAUGCAAGUCGAACGAAGUGGCGCACGUGUGAGUAACGCGUAAUCAACCUGCCCUUCAGAGGGGGACAACAGUUGGAAACGACUGCUACUACCUCAUACUGAAGGAGGGGAUUGCGUCUGUUUAGCUAGUUGGAUGGGUAACGGCCCACCAAGGCGAGUAUCAGUAGCCGGUCUGAGAGGAUGAACGGCCACAUUGGGACGGAGACACGGCCCAGACUCCUACGGGAGGCAGCAGUGGGGAAUCUUCCGCAAUGGAGGAAAGUCUGACUGAGCAACGCCGCGGGAGUGAUGACGGCCUUCGGGUUGUAAAGCUCUGUUAAUCGGGACGCGGUACCGGAAUAGAAAGCCACGGCUAACUACGUGCCAGCAGCCGCGGUAAUAC